AGUGCCCUCCCUUCCCCAGCAGCAUGCUGAACCUGGCACUGCUCAGCUUCCCACAGCUGUGGGCUUCUGUUCCUAGAGCUGAGGGGGUCCAGUGCAGACCAUCAAGCCCUUACAGGCAGCACAGACACCAUCCCUACUGACAGCUGCAAGCUGCUGCCUCAGUUCCAACUAACAGAGCACACUGAGCAAAAGGAAUCACACAGGUCCACAAACCCUUGGAAAUUGGAGGAGCAGCAGCUGUGCCCCCUCUCAAAGUUGCCUUUGCUUGUGGCUCCCCACCCUCCAUACUUUGAGCUCUUGGAUAAACAUUGCCCUAAUCAGAUGAUAAAAUUUCUGGGCCACUUGUUGAAUUUGGAGAGCUUGUGGUGUGUUCUCUUUUGUGGCUGAGAGAGAUAUUUGUAUUUAAGUGUUUAGACCUAUAAAGUGAGCAGAAUAUUUAGAGUCAGUGGAGGGCCAAGCACCAGGAAAUUCUUCUUCAUUUGCUGUGUAAAUAGCAAGAAGGGCAAAUGAACAGGUGAACCUCCCAGUUUCCAAAUUAUUAAUGAAAGCCCUCAUUUACUUUUCAUAGUGAUGUAUGAUUCCAUGAAGCAGUUCUCUCCUGUUCUGGAACAGAGAGUUUAAGCAGGAAAAAUUGUUAUUUUUAAAAAAUUCUUUGCCUAUUUCUAUACCUGUAUGAGUGAAAUGACAUGGUUUCUUCUCCAGUGGUGCUGCUGACCUUGAGAGUUUAUCUGGGGAUAAAGAAACUGAAUCAUCCAUAUAUUCCUCAGAAGACAAACCUUGAAAAGUUCAGUCCUGAAGUUCUUUCUGUAACUGGACUUGGUGAAUGAAGAACCAAGUGAUAAGAACCUCGAGGACUGGCAUUGGCACAGCUCAUUUACCAAUAAAGCAGGGAAAAUAAUA